CUUGGCCAUAAAAUAAACAUCAAGGUGGGAUUUGGAAGUCAGACAAGAGCUGAGCUGUGUGCAUGCAGAGGCUCCUUGUGCUUGGGCUGAACCAAGUGAGCAAGGAACACAAGGAUGUCACGUGCAAAAUAGCAAAGCUGGCAGCAGCAAGCAGUGGGUACGAAUAUGGGGAGAAGGUCAUCUGAGACUAGAUGUCACUGACAGCAAUGAUCACACAGCUUGAAGGCAUCUGUUUUGAAGCUAAUGUCAAUUUUUGCUUUGUUCUGUGUUCACAGAUGCAGUGCGUUCCCCAAUUAUACCAACAGAAUCUUCUACACCCACUAUUGUCACAGAGGGAAGUGCCACAUCAGCUACUGAAAUCCCAGACACAACUUAUGAAGGCUUCACCUCCACUACAGAAGAAGAUGGGACUACAGAAAUCCCCACCUUGCCUCCAGAAGAUCCCUUCUCUGUCCCCAGCACUGCAACUACACAGACAACAGAUGUUACAGAGAUCCUGGCCACCACUCUGGGAGGUGAGGCACUCCUCUGCUGAAGGUACUCCCAAAAACAACAAGGAUCACAUCCCUCACUGCCCUAACAAUGGCUGCUGCAUCUUUACCAAUGUCUACUGCAUCUCCAGCAGUAGAAGGCGGCAGUCAGAAAUAACACCGGGAUCUAGUGCCAUUAAAUGCUCAAUCAGGGUGGUUUACAGGCUCUUUUCAGUAAGAACAGGGGGCUGUCCUUGACUCACUUCCCUGCAAAACCCAUCCCCACCUACUUGCAUCAAGAU
rnacentral:lncRNA from 1 species